rnacentral:rRNA from 1 species
CAUACGCUCGAGAGAAGAAGGUGGGGAUCGCAAGACCUCACGUUAUAGGAGCGGCCGAUGUCCGAUUAGCUAGUUGGUGGGGUAAAGGCCUACCAAGGCGCGAUCGGUAGCUGGUCUGAGAGGAUGAUCAGCCACACUGGGACUGAGACACGGCCCAGACUCCUACGGGAGGCAGCAGUGGGGAAUUUUGGACAAUGGGCGAAAGCCUGAUCCAGCCAUGCCGCGUGCGGGAAGAAGGCCUUCGGGUUGUAAACCGCUUUAGUCCGGGAAAAAGGGGUGCGAGGAUAAUACCCUCGUGCUUUGAUGGUACUGGAAGAAUAAGCACCGGCUAACUACGUG